UACAGAGGUCUCAACCGUUGUUCGGAUUCAUUGGGCGUAAAGGGUGCGUAGGCGGCGGGGUAAGUCAGGUGUGAAAUCUCGGGGCUCAACCCCGAAACUGCACUUGAUACUGCCUCGCUUGAGUACUGGAGAGGAGACUGGAAUUUACGGUGUAGCAGUGAAAUGCGUAGAUAUCGUAAGGAAGACCAGUGGCGAAGGCGGCUUUCUGGACCAAUACUGACGCUGAGACGCGAAAGCGUGGGGAGCAAACAGG
rnacentral:rRNA from 1 species